rnacentral:lncRNA from 1 species
AUCCUUCAAGGCUUAGUGUUAGUUGUUCAACCAAUAAGAAUGGAUUUUCUUGAACUCCUUAAAAUGCAGAUCCUUGUUAUAUCCACUGUUCAUUGAAAGUACUUCUUUGGUAUUUUAUGCCUAUUAGAUGCAUGGCCAUACCAUUGAACUUAGUAUGUUUCCAUUAUUCAAAUUCUUAGUAUUCAUCUCUUUCUAUGUUGCACACUCAAGAACGUGUACUAUGCUUUGUCUGUCGAAAUGGUACACUUGCAAUUGGUUAAUAAAUCUUUUCCAAUAGCAUAACAGAUCCUUAGACUCCCUCAAAAAAGAUCCUUAUCUUGUUCUUUAUGCCAUUGAAUUUAGUCUUUUUUUAUUAUUCAGUUUCUUGCAAUUCAUAUUUAUCUACGUUAUACAGUCAAGAACAUGUUUACUAUGCUAAACUUGUUUAUUUGUUUGUCGGUACAAAUGGUACAAUUGCAUUUAGCUAAUCAACCUCGCCUACUAGCAUAACAGAAUCCCGAACUCCCUAAAAAACAGGUCCUUAGGCCAACUCCAACUCCAACGCAGAGACCCAAAUUUUGUCUUUUUUUUUGUCGGUUCGGGUCUUCAAACAGAUAGACCAAAACAGGUGGACAGGCAGACACGACCUGUGAACUCAACUUGAAGGUCCUAUUUGGGAGGGACAUGCGGAUUCUUCCUCAUUCUUUCUCUAUCCCGCCGCACUGUGUGAGCCGCGAGAUGUGCGCUUCGACUCGUGGCCGCUGCGGCGACGUGCUCCUGCUCCAAGUACGCGAUGGCGAGGAGGCUCGAGAUGUGCGCUCUUGCUCCAAGUACGCGCCGAUGAGGAGUCCCGAGAUGUGCUGCCUGUCCGCGGGUCAUGUGGUAGCGCAUGGAGUUCCAUGAGCUGCGCGAUGACGCUGGGCGCGUCUGCCAUGCCAGGGGACACCGCGGGCGACGCCGUUCUCCAGCGACAGGUGCGGCAACCUCCAGGAUGCGGCCAGGGCCCCCUAUCCUAAAGGUCCAGUGAAGGAAGCUGGAGCACCGGCCUUGGCACCGUAGGUAGGGACUCGCUGGCGGCAGAGGCCUCGAGGCCGAGUGGAGGAUGGCCGGGAGGCCGCGCUCCAGCACGAACUGCACCUGCGUCAUGGCAGGAUCACCAUCCCGUGCACGGCCAUGCGUGUCGAGCGCGUUGCCCUAGCCGCCACGACCUCUUGUAUGAUCCUCUACAACUAGAUUUGCAUGCCUUAGAUUUUACUGAAAAGAACAUAGUUUUCCUUGAAACUUAGCUGGAUCAUGUAAUAAUUCAUGUAAUAAUUCCAGAUAUUUACUUAUAUGCUGAUAGAACAUGUUAGAUUAGACCUUAUGCUCAAUGAUAACCGAAUAUACUCCCUCCGGUUCUUGGAAAGUCUUCAAAAUACAACUUUAACUCCUUAGAUUUCACUAGAUAUUUCUUCUUCAUAUAUUUUCAUAGAGCUCUCUGAAAUUAUACUUUUUUGAAAAUACGUUAUGAGACCUACACAUUGUUAGGAAAGCAACUUAUCUUCCCAUGAGGCCAUAGGCCGAUAUAUAUACAUGUACAGGUUAUGGACUAUAUGCAGGAAAACCCCUUAUAUAUUGGGAUAAAUACAAAAGGGUACAUGACUUGUAUUAUAACUCUAACACCCCCCCUCAAACUCAUGGUGGAUGAACAACACUGAGUUUGGAGAGAUAAAAGCCAUGUUGUGCUCUAGUCUGGGCCUUCGUCAGGAAAUCCGCCAACUGUAACUCGGAAGGCACAUACUGAAGAGCAACAACCUGAUCCUGCACAGCAGCGCGCACAUAGAAAGCAUCAACACCAAUAUGCUUGGUGAGCUCAUGCUUCACAGGAUCGCGCGCAAUGCUAAUAGCACCUGUACUGUCAGAUAAGAGCAGAGUCGGUGUAGUGACAGAAACACCAAAAUCCUGAAGUAACCACCGUAACCAAGUCACCUCUGCCGUCAAAAGAGCCAUCGCUCGCAACUCAGCCUCUGCACUCGAACGGGAAACGGCAAUCUGUUUCUUCUUCUUCCAGGCAAUGAGAGAACCACCAAGAAAAACACAGUAAGCAGAAAGUGAACGGCGAUCUGAAGGAUCACUAGCCCACGUAGCAUCCGAAUAGGCCUGAAGCUGUAAAGAACUGGAGCGAGGAAAGAAUAAACGAUGAGAGAUUGUGCCCCGAAGAUAUCGGAGAACACGGAGGAGAUGACUAUAGUGAACCGAUGUGGGAGUAGAGACAAACUGACUCAGAAUAUGAACCGGAUAAGAAAUAUCCGGACGAGUGACAGCUAGAUAAACAAGACUGCCAACAAGAUGACGAUAGCGCGUCGGGUCAGGCAGGGGAUCACCAUCAGUAGCAGAGAGGUGAACAUUGAGCUCCAUAGGAGUCUCAACAAUGCGCUCAUCAGUAAGAGCAGCACGAGCAAGAAGAUCCUGGAUAUACUUUUCCUGGGAUAUAAAAAAGCCAUCAGAGGUAGAAGAGACUUCAAUCCCAAGAAAGUAGCGAAGAGGUCCAAGAUCAGACAUAAGGAACUGCUCACUAAGACGAGCCUUGACAAAGGCAAUAUACUCAGGGUCAUCCCCAGUGAUGACCAUGUCAUCAACAUAAAGAAGAAGAAUAGUCCGACCACGAGGAGAAAGGUGAAUAAAUAAUGCUGGAUCAUGAACACUGGGUGAAAAACCAGCGGCAGUCACCACAGAGGCAAAACGCUCAAACCAGGCUCGGGGGGCUUGCUUAAGGCCAUAGAGAGAGCGACGAAGACGGCAUACCAUGCCAUCAGGAACAGAAUACCCAGGUGGAGGUUGCAUGUACACCUCCUCACGCAGCUCACCAUUAAGAAAAGCAUUCUUAACAUCAAGCUGAGAGAUAGACCAGUGGCGUGUAGAGGCCACGGCAAGAAGUGUACGAACAGUGGUCAUAUGAGCCACAGGAGCAAAAAGUCUCGUCAUAAUCACGACCAUGCUCUUGCUGAAAACCACGAGCCACAAGACGAGCUUUGUGACGCUCAAGAGAACCAUCGGAUCGAGUCUUUACCUUGUAGACCCACUUACAAGUGAUGGGACGGCGGACUCCAGGAGGAAGGGAAACAAGAUCCACGUACUUGUGCGUUCAAGAGCAGCAAUCUCCUCAGCCAUCGCAAACUGCCAUUCAGGAUGAACAACAGCCUGAUGAUAAGUAGUCGGCUCAAGAACAGCAGCUCCAGCGGUGGAAAAGCCUAAGCGAUCAACAGGCGGACGAGGACGAGAACGCAAGCCAUAAGUAGGCUGAGACGAGGAUGACGACACAUCCAGAGAAGCAUCCACAGAACGUGAACGACGAGUGUAACACUGAGGAAAAGAUGGAACAAUGGAAGGAGGAAUCGCUAAAGUAGAAUCGGAGAGUGGCGACAAAGAAGUCACCGGAGAUGAAGGUGUAGAAUCCGGUGACAUGCUAGACGAGGAGACCGUGGAAGAUGGUGGCGACAAAUCGACGGGAGGUGGAGAAGCAGAGGGAGCGGAAUGAGUAGGCAAAGGCUCGACGAGUGUGAUAGGCGUGUCAGGAAAAGUGAGAAAAGAGAUAUCCUCUACUGAAAAAGUCGAGGAAGAUGGGCGUGGGUAGAAGGGACGAGACUCAUCAAAAGUCACAUCCCGAGAGAUACGUAUCCGACGACCGAUAGGAUCCCAACAACGAUAGCCCUUAUGCUCAUCACUAUAGCCUAAGAAGACACACUCAACAGACUGAGCGGUCAGUUUGGUGCGUUCGCGGGGGGCAAGAAGAACAUAGCAAACACAACCAAACAAGCGAAGCGUCGAAUAAUCGGGAGACCGAUCAAAAAGACACUCGAAAGGAACACCACCCUGUAGAGCAGCGGAAGGCUGGAAAUUGAUGAGAUAGGUGGAGGUGGAGACGGCCUCAGCCCAAAAAUGCGGCGGGAGAGAGGCAGCAAUCAUCAAUGCACGAGCCGUCUCAAGAAGAUGGCGAUGCUUGCGCUCAGCCACGCCAUUCUGAGCAUGAGCACCAGGACAAGAGAAUUGAGAGAGAGUCCCUUGCUCAGCAAGAACACCACGCAACAUCUUAGAGAUAUACUCGCCAGCGGAGUCAGCACGAAACACACGAAUGGGAGAAGAGAACUGAGUAUGAACCAUGGCAGCAAAACGCUUAUAAAUGGACAACACCUCACUACGAGAAGUCAUGAAAUAAAGCCAUGUGUAACGAGAGAAGUCAUCUAUGAAAAUAAUAUAGUAUUUAUGACCCCCUUUCGAAUCGAAGGGAGCCGGACCCCAUACAUCGGAAUGGACUAAAUCAAAAGGACGCUUAGACACUGACUCACUAUGUGGAUAUGGUAACUGAAUCUGCUUGCCAAGACGACAACCCUGACACUUUAAGGAGGCAUCUCCUGAGACAGACCCCAGAAGACCUCGACGAACUAACGACGUCAAACGAGAACCACACAGAUGACCAAGUCGAUGAUGCCACUGCUGGAAAGAACCAGUAGCCGAGGCGACCAAAGCGGAAGAACUGGCGAGAGAAUGGGCAGAGGAAGGAACAUGAAGCCAGUCCACCUCCCAAAGACCCUCAGAAUCACGGCGGCGAGGGCCAGCCCCAACCAGAGUGUGCGUGCGACGGUCCUGGACAGAACAAGAGUCAAGAUCAAGGAUGACACGACAACCAGAAUCAGCAAGUUGAGCAGCGGAAAACAAAUUCAUGGUAAGUCGAGGAACAUGAGCAACAUCAGGAACAGAAUAAGAAGGAGUGGUAAGAGUGCCUCUACUAACGACAUGAAGGGGAAUACCAUCAGCGGUGAGGACAUGAACAGGAGAAUCAAGCGAACGAAGAGAGGACAGAGUGGAAGAAUUAGAAGUCAUAUGAAAGGAAGCUCCAGAGUCCAGAACCCAUGGGGAUGUACCUGACUGUGAAGAAGGUGGUUGCUCAGUGCGGGAAGCCUCAGUCAUAGAACCAGCAGUACCCGUUGAGGAAGAACCUGAAGCAGCGAGCAGACGCUUAAGUCUCAGAAUAUCCUGCUCAGUCAAAGCGAUGGCUGAAGCUGUCGAGGUAGAUGACGAAGUCGCUGUAGAUGAUGACCGCGCCUUGCGCAAGUGUUUCUUCUUCGUGUAGCAGUGGGGCUCAAUAUGACCAUCAUUGUUGCAGUAGUUACAAUGUGGACGGGGGCGAGCUGAGCCGCCAGAAGGAGUGGGCAAGAGCGGCGGAUCACUCGAGCGAGAAGGGGUCGGUGCAGCAGGUGGCAUAGAAAAAGUCCGAGCAGCGAGCACCGAGGGAACCUCCAGCAAACCAGCACCACGUAAGCGAGUCUCCUCAGCACGAACCUCAGAAAGCGCCUCCAUGAGAGAAAUACGGCCACGAGCAAACAACUGAGCACGCCGGGGCUCAAACUCCUUACGGAGCCGAGACAGGAACUCGUAGACGCGAUGAAACUCCAAGUCGGCCUGGACAGCCUGGCAACAGGGGCAAGUACGACAACCAGCACUGCGAAGAGAAUCAAGCUGGCGCCAGAUAGCAGAACUUUGUGCAUAGAAGUCAUCAACAGUAGAGUCACCCUGCUGAAGAGCAUGCUCCUGACGGACCAUAGAGAGGUAUAAGGCAUCACCAGAGGGCUCAUAGCGCUGACGAAGGCGGGUCCACAUCUCAAAUACAGUAGGAAGGCCCAGAAACUCAGAAGCACACUGAGGCAGAACACUAGCAGUGAGAACAGCGGCAGCACGAGCAUCAUCAUCAAGCCACUGGGUGUAAACGGACAGAGCACCAUGAUACAGCUGAAGAGCCUCCUCAUAAGCCAAGACCUUCUCAUCAUAAGCACUCACAGCGGCCUCAUCAGCAAGCUUAGUCGCAUCCUUUGCGGCCUGAGAAGCAUCCGCAGGAAGAGCCGGUGGGGUCGGCGGAGUGGGAGCCACGGGAGGAACCGGACAUGGCGGACAACAGACCUCGCCGGAAAGAAAACCCCAUAGGCGGAUGCCACGCAUGUGAAUGCGCAUGAAGCCAAUGAACUCGGUGUAGUUAGUGCCAUCAAAGAUCACCGGACAACGAGGAACAACAACAUAGCCAGUAGACUUUUUUUUUUUUUUUGGAAAGAAAUCAGUCAACGGGAGGAAACCGCGUCGACAGCAGAAGGCGAGACUCGGCCUGGGGGCCCCGUCGGUAGUGGAGACCGCGUCGAAUAGAGCAGAUCAGGCCAGGGUCGCGGUCAACGGACAACACAACAGGGUCCCGGGGCACUGGAUCGGUCCUGGCGACGCGGGGCGACGCGCGGCAGAGCGAGGAAGGGCGGCGGCGACUGAAGCGGUCCUGGCGACGCGGGGCGACGCGCGGCAGAGCGAGGAAGGGCGGCGGCGACUGAAGCGGGCGGACGCGGGGCGACGCGUGGAGGAGCGGAUCUGGCAGGCGCGGGACGACCCUGCAGAUCGGUCCGGUGGCGUGCACUGGAUCGAAGAUGCGAUCUGGCGAGAGCCGCCUCGACCCGGGAUUGAAGCGACGCGUCGGGAGAUUGUAGAGACGCGGCUGGAGCUCCUCCACGUGCGGGACGAGGGCCGGUACCAGCGGUGGGAAAGCUAGAUCGGAAAAAACACGAGUUGCGCGUGCAAAAAGAACCUAAGCUCUAAUACCAUGUUAGGAAAGCAACUUAUCUUCCCAUGAGGCCAUAGGCCGAUAUAUAUACAUGUACAGGUUAUGGACUAUAUGCAGGAA